UGGGGGAUCGUCUAACGGCAGGACGACGGGUUCUGGCCCCGUUAAUCCAGGUUCGAAUCCUGGUCUCCCAGCCA
rnacentral:tRNA from 1 species